AGUGGCAGACGGGUGAGUAACACGUAGAUAACCUACCCCUCCGUUGGGGAUAGCCACUGGAAACGGUGGGUAAAACCGAAUAUUCUCGCUUGACGGCAUCGUCGUGCGAGGAAAACUUUGGUGUGGAGGGAAGGGUUUGCGACCUAUCAGCUAGUUGGUGAGGUAACGGCUCACCAAGGCGUCGACGGGUAACCGGUCUGAGAGGACGGUCGGUCACACUGGCACUGAGAUACGGGCCAGACUCCUACGGGAGGCAGCAGUGAGGGAUUUUGCACAAUGGAGGAAACUCUGAUGCAGCGACGCCGCGUGCGGGAUGAAGCCUUUCGGGGUGUAAACCGCAGUCAGUGGAGAAGAGUAUGGACGGUACCCACUGAGGAAGCAUCGGCUAACUACGUGCCAGCAGCCGCGGUAAGACGUAGGGUGCAAGCGUUGUCCGGAAUCACUGGGCGUAAAGAGCUCGUAGGCGGGGUCGCGCGUCACUGAGUAAAUCUCUCUGCUCAACGGAGAGUUCUUCAGUGA
rnacentral:rRNA from 1 species